rnacentral:lncRNA from 1 species
AACACAACGUAUGCAAAUAGUAAAACAAUUAAUUAGCUCAUACAUUCUCUAUUCUGAUUGCAACAUUGAGGAAAAGCUUGACUGUUGGCUUCUAAAAAUUUUCAAACUCCUACACCAUGAGGGCUGAUCACUGCUUCUGUCCUACUGUCUCACUAAUUCAUUUCUCAAAUUUUAUAACUGAUUUUCCAAAAAAAUACUGGCAAUAAAGCACCAAAUGAUAAAUCAUCAAAGUGAAUCCAUCGGGUUCCCUGGAAACCCGAACAAGAGUGUUGUGUUAAAGAAAAGGUACAUCAACUGUAGUGCUAACCCCAAAGCUAAC